rnacentral:rRNA from 1 species
GACGAACGCUGGCGGCGUGCCUAAUACAUGCAAGUCGAACGCUUCUUUCCUCCCGAGUGCUUGCACUCAAUUGGAAAGAGGAGUGGCGGACGGGUGAGUAACACGUGGGUAACCUACCCAUCAGAGGGGGAUAACACUUGGAAACAGGUGCUAAUACCGCAUAACAGUUUAUGCCGCAUGGCAUAAGAGUGAAAGGCGCUUUCGGGUGUCGCUGAUGGAUGGACCCGCGGUGCAUUAGCUAGUUGGUGAGGUAACGGCUCACCAAGGCCACGAUGCAUAGCCGACCUGAUGGGGUGAUCGGCCACACGGGGACUGAGACACGGCCCAGACUCCUACGGGAGGCAGCAGUAGGGAAUCUUCGGCAAUGGACGAAAGUCUGACCGAGCAACGCCGCGUGAGUGAAGAAGGUUUUCGGAUCGUAAAACUCUGUUGUUAGAGAAGAACAAGGACGUUAGUAACUGAACGUCCCCUGACGGUAUCUAACCAGAAAGCCACGGCUAACUACGUG